rnacentral:rRNA from 1 species
GACGAACGCUGGCGGCGUGCUUAACACAUGCAAGUCGAACGAGAGCGUAGAGAAAGCUUGCUUUUUCUACAAUCUAGUGGCAAACGGGUGAGUAACGCGUAAACAACCUGCCCUACGGAUGGGGACAACAGCUGGAAACGGCUGCUAAUACCGAAUACGUUCCGAAAGUCGCAUGACUAUCGGAAGAAAGGAUGGCCUCUAUUUAUAAGCUAUCGCCGGAGGAGGGGUUUGCGUCUGAUUAGCUAGUUGGAGGGGUAACGGCCCACCAAGGGGACGAUCAGUAGCCGGUCUGAGAGGAUGAACGGCCACAUUGGAACUGAGACACGGUCCAGACUCCUACGGGAGGCAGCAGUGGGGAAUCUUCCGCAAUGGGCGAAAGCCUGACGGAGCAACGCCGCGUGAGUGAAGACGGCCUUCGGGUUGUAAAGCUCUGUUAUACGGGACGAAUAAUCUUGUGGUUAAUACCCAUGAGAAGUGGCGGUACCGUAAGAGAAAGCCACGGCUAACUACGUG